CCCAAACCAAUAAAGUUUUCUUUAUUGGGGUUGCGGACAUAUCAUAACGAAGAGGUAUCGUAAUUGAAGAGGUUUGGAAAGACCCACCACAGAAGGUAAUAGUCCUGUAUGUUAAACGAGAAGACUUUAGAUAUGAUCCAGAGUACCACGGGACACGUGAAACCCUGUGGGAAGCAGGAGGGACCACCCUCCAAGGCUAAAUACUACCUAGUGACCGAUAGCGUAUAGUACCGUGAGGGAAAGGUGAAAAGAACCCCGGGAGGGGAGUGAAAUAGAACCUGAAACCCUGCACUUACAAGCUGUGGAAGCACAUUUCUUGUGUGACCGCGUACUUUUUGUAGAACGGGCCAACGAGUUACGUUAAGUAGCAAGGUUAAGCACUUAAGGUGCGGAGCCGUAGCGAAAGCGAGUUUUAACUGAGCGUUCAGUUACUUGACGUAGACCCGAAACCGGGCGACCUACCCAUGAGCAGGAUGAAGCGAAAGUAAAAUUUCGUGGAGGUCCGAACCCACGAGCGUUGAAAAGCUCGGGGAUGACUUGUGGGUAGCGGUGAAAUUCCAAUCGAGCCCGGAGAUAGCUGGUUCUCCCCGAAAUAGCUUUAGGGCUAGCCUCAAGGUGAGAGAUACGGAGGUAGAGCACUGAAUGUCCUAGGGGGUAUUGCACCUACCGAAGACUAUCAAACUCCGAAUGCCGUCAUCUUAUACUUGGGAGUCAGACUGUGGGUGAUAAGAUUCAUAGUCGAAAGGGCAACAGCCCAGAUCGUCAGCUAAGGUCCCUAAAUGUAAGUUAAGUGGUAAAGGAUGUGGGAUUGCACAGACAACCAGGAUGUUGGCUUAGAAGCAGCCACUCAUUCAAAGAGUGCGUAAUAGCUCACUGGUCGAGUGAUCCUGCGCCGAAGAUUUCCGGGGCUAAAACUUACUACCGAAGCUACGGCAUCAGUAAUGAUGGGUAGGGGAGCUUCCCAUACGGGUUGAAGCAUGACCGUAAGGACAUGUGGACAGUAUGGGAGUGAGAAUGUUGGCAUGAGUAGCGAGAUGUGGGUGAGAAUCCCACAGGCCGUAAACCCAAGGUUUCCAGGGGAAGGUUCGUCCGCCCUGGGUUAGUCGGGACCUAAGCUGAGGCCGAAAGGCGUAGGUGAUGGACAACAGGUUGAUAUUCCUGUACUACCGAUAACCGUUUGAGAGAAGGGAUGACACAGUAGGAUAAGCUAAGCACACUGUUGGUUAUGUGUGCCCAAGCAUUGAGGCAGUCAAAGUAGGCAAAUCCGCUUUGAUAAUGCUGGGAUGUGAUGGGGAGCGAAAUUUAGUAGCGAAGUAGCUGAUUUCACACUGUCAAGAAAAGUCUCUAUCGAGGUUAAAGGUACCCGUACCGCAAACCGACACAGGUGGGUGAGGAGAGUAUCCUAAGGCCAGCGAGAGAACUGUUGUUAAGGAACUCGGCAAAAUGACCCCGUAACUUAGGGAUAAGGGGUGCCACCAUCAGGUGGCCGCAGAGAAUAGGCCCAAGCGACUGUUUACCAAAAACAUAGGUUUCUGCUAAGUCGCAAGACGAUGUAUAGGAGCUGACGCCUGCCCGGUGCUGGAAGGUUAAGGGGAUCUGUUAGAGCAAUCGAAGCAGUGAACUUAAGCCCCAGUAAACGGCGGCCGUAACUAUAACGGUCCUAAGGUAGCGAAAUUCCUUGUCGGGUAAGUUCCGACCCGCACGAAAGGCGUAACGAUUUGGGCACUGUCUCAACAACAGACUCGGUGAAAUUGUAAUUCCGGUGAAGAUGCCGGAUACCUGCGACAGGACGGAAAGACCCCAUGGAGCUUUACUGUAGCUUGACAUUGGGUCUUGGUACUACAUGUACAGGAUAGGUGGGAGGCUUUGAAACCAGGACGCCAGUUUUGGCGGAGCCAUCCUUGGGAUACCACCCUUGUAGUACUGGGACUCUAACCAUAGGCCAUGAAUCUGG
rnacentral:rRNA from 1 species